rnacentral:rRNA from 1 species
AUUGAACGCUGGCGGCAGGCUUAACACAUGCAAGUCGAACGGUAACAUAAGAAAAGCUUGCUUUUUUUGAUGACGAGUGGCGGACGGGUGAGUAAUGCUUGGGAAUCUGCCUUAUGGAGGGGGAUAACUACGGGAAACUGUAGCUAAUACCGCAUAAUAUCUACGGAUUAAAGUGUGGGAUCUUCGGACCACAUACCAUAAGAUGAGCCCAAGUGAGAUUAGGUAGUUGGUGAGGUAAAGGCUCACCAAGCUGACGAUCUCUAGCUGGUUUGAGAGGAUGACCAGCCACACUGGGACUGAGACACGGCCCAGACUCCUACGGGAGGCAGCAGUGGGGAAUAUUGCACAAUGGGCGCAAGCCUGAUGCAGCCAUGCCGCGUGAAUGAAGAAGGCUUUCGGGUUGUAAAGUUCUUUCAUUAGUGAGAAAGGUGCAAAUGUUAAUAGCAUUUGUAAUUGAUGUUAGCUAAAGAAGAAGCACCGGCUAACUCCGUGCCAGCAGCCGCGGUAAUACGGAGGGUGCGAGCGUUAAUCGGAAUAACUGGGCGUAAAGGGCAUGCAGGCGGUUACUUAAGUCAGAUGUGAAAGCCCCGAGCUUAACUUGGGAAUUGCAUUUGAAACUGGGUAACUAGAGUCCUCUAGGGAGGGGUAGAAUUCCACGUGUAGCGGUGAAAUGCGUAGAGAUGUGGAGGAAUACUGAAGGCGAAGGCAGCCCCUUGGGAAUAUACUGACGCUCAUGUGCGAAAGCGUGGGGAGCAAACAGG